GGGUUGCUAUCGUUGGUCGGGCUAUUGUCUGUACUGGCGUGUAGAAUUUCUACCUUCUGGGGAACUAUUAUGUUAUUAAUUUAACGUGGUAGGAAACCAGGACCUUUACCUUGAAAAAAUUAGAGUGUUCAAAGCAGGCUUAUGUCUGAAUACAUUAGCAUGGAAUAAUAAAAUAGGACGGUGGUCCUGUUUUGUUGGUUUCUGAAUCACCGUAAUGAUUAAUAGGGAUAGUUGGGCUGA
rnacentral:rRNA from 1 species